CGAGAUGUAGCGCAGUUGGUAGCGCGCAUGCUUUGGGAGCAUGAUGCCGCAGGUUCGAAUCCUGUCAUCUCGACCA
rnacentral:tRNA from 1 species